GGUGGGUCCGGCCGGGGGAGAAUCAUGGUGGCCGUCAGAUUUGUCUGGUCUCUAUGCAUAGCUAGCAAAAGGAAGAGGAAAUAAAACUGAAGCUCUUGGCCUCAUCUGCUUCAUUUAUUCAGUUUAAGUUUCCUGCAGGUAAAAAUACAUUCAAAUCUCAGUCAAAAGACUCAAAUCUCUGUAUCUGGAAUGAUUUCAGAUUGACAGUCUGGUUAUGUUCAAAAAUGGGACUUGUGAAACUUAUUUGUUCUCUAGUAGCAGAAUAAUAGCUUUUACUGUUCAUCAA